rnacentral:rRNA from 1 species
AUUGAACGCUGGCGGCAGGCCUAACACAUGCAAGUCGAGCGGAUGAAGAGAGCUUGCUCUCUGAUUUAGCGGCGGACGGGUGAGUAAUGCCUAGGAAUCUGCCUGGUAGUGGGGGAUACCGUUCCGAAAGGAACGCUAAUACCGCAUACGUCCUACGGGAGAAAGCAGGGGACCUUCGGGCCUUGCGCUAUCAGAUGAGCCUAGGUCGGAUUAGCUAGUUGGUGAGGUAAUGGCUCACCAAGGCGACGAUCCGUAACUGGUCUGAGAGGAUGAUCAGUCACACUGGAACUGAGACACGGUCCAGACUCCUACGGGAGGCAGCAGUGGGGAAUAUUGGACAAGGGGCGAAAGCCUGAUUCAGCCAUGCCGCGUGUGUGAAGAAGGUCUUCGGAUUGUAAAGCACUUUAAGUUGGGAGGAAGGGCAGUAAGUUAAUACCGUGCUGUUUUGACGUUACCGACAGAAUAAGCACCGGCUAACUUCGUGCCAGCCGCCGCGGUAAGAC